rnacentral:lncRNA from 1 species
CAGGCUUUGAAACUGUUAUGAUUCCAGAAAUGUUACGGAAGAUGUGAGUCAUAAGCUUCUAAGAACUCUGCUGCCAUUCAGGGAGGAAAGAAUACAUAUCGAUUUUCAAGUGGAUGAGUAUUUAUAUCUCAAAAGAGGAAAUACAGAAGAUCACAUUUCAUGGGAGAUAACUACUCUAAGAAAGCAGAUUGUAUGUAUACACAUUCAUGGAUACACAGGUUUGGGGGUUUAAAUAGCUUCUUUCUGAUUCACAGUUGUGCCAAAUGUGA